GGUUGGACACUAAUCGUUUCGAUUUCACCUCCUUAUCAGAAGCAGUCUCGACUGUCUUGCUGGGCAUAUCCUCAGUUAACAGUUGGUGACUUCAGACAGCCCUUGGUUCGCACAAGUGCCUUGCGUGUUUACGAUCUAAGGGGUGAGUCAAGUUGCACAGUGGGCCAUCGUUUGUAGUCGACUCACCAGCAACCUGACACAAAUAAGGAAACACAAUGGACAGCCGAGUUACUACACGGCGGACGCGGAGAGACGUGCCAUGUCACCAGCGACCUAAAAGGCAACAAAAAGUAUCCAGCUUCUGGAAUCUCCACUUUACGUUAAUGACACGUACAUAACAGUGGACUGACUGCUGAUCCAACUGUUUGUUUUUAUAUCAUCCAGAAUUCAAACACCUUGCUUUAACAGUCGUCAUCUCUGCGUUCAAGUACCUGUAAGCUGAUAAUAAUUACGUUUCAUACACAUCUUUCGACCUGUAAUUUGAUAAUCACUAUUAUAUUACCUAGAGGCAAAGCCAGUUAAAUAUAUGUAAUGAUUUUUGUGCCUGUUA